CCCCCCUUGCAAUGUGCUAGUUACAACUAGAUUUUGAACUUGUGAUGGAGAAUUGUAUUCGGAUGUCAAAGGAAUUUCCCAAUACGAUUGGUGGUUUGGUGAAGAAGACCGGAAUACCGAAGAGGGAAGAUAAACGUUUACAAAAUAACAUUAUAAACUAAUGGAAUACUACGGAGUUUUCAACGAAGAAAUAAAAACUACUGCAGAUGGCGUAAAACCCCAUAAAAGGGUUGGCAAGAUGGCGACCGGCGAGUCCAAAGCUGGGUGCAAGGUGUUAUUAAGGGCCUCAGUUCGUCUGCAGACCCCACACCACUUCAAUCCGAACAAUUAUUUUCGAAAU